rnacentral:rRNA from 1 species
CCUACGGGUGGCUGCAGUGAGGAAUAUUGGUCAAUGGGCGCGAGCCUGAACCAGCCAAGUAGCGUGAAGGAUGACGGCCCUACGGGUUGUAAACUUCUUUUGUAAAGGAGUAAAGUGAGGCACGUGUGCCUUUUUGUAUGUACUUUAUGAAUAAGGAUCGGCUAACUCCGUGCCAGCAGCCGCGGUAAUACGGAGGAUCCGAGCGUUAUCCGGAUUUAUUGGGUUUAAAGGGAGCGUAGAUGGGUUGUUAAGUCAGUUGUGAAAGUUUGCGGCUCAACCGUAAAAUUGCAAUGGAUACUGGCAGCCUUGAGUACAGUAGAGGUAGGCGGAAUUCGUGGUGUAGCGGUGAAAUGCGUAGAUAUCACGAAGAACUCCGAUUGCGAAGGCAGCCUACUAAACUGCAACUGACAUUGAUGCUCGAAAGUGUGGGUAUCAAACAGGAUUAGAUACCCGAGUAGUC